rnacentral:rRNA from 1 species
AGUGAACGCUGGCGGUAGGCCUAACACAUGCAAGUCGAACGGCAGCACAGUAAGAGCUUGCUCUUACGGGUGGCGAGUGGCGGACGGGUGAGGAAUACAUCGGAAUCUACUUUUUCGUGGGGGAUAACGUAGGGAAACUUACGCUAAUACCGCAUACGACCUACGGGUGAAAGCAGGAGAUCUUCGGACCUUGCGCGUUUCAAUGAGCCGAUGUCGGAUUAGCUAGUUGGCGGGGUAAAGGCCCACCAAGGCGACGAUCCGUAGCUGGUCUGAGAGGAUGAUCAGCCACACUGGAACUGAGACACGGUCCAGACUCCUACGGGAGGCAGCAGUGGGGAAUAUUGGACAAUGGGCGCAAGCCUGAUGCAGCCAUACCGCGUGAGUGAAGAAGGCCUUCGGGUUGUAAAGCCCUUUUGUUGGGAAAGAAAAGCAGCAUGUUAAUACCCCGCUGUUCUGACGGUACCCAAAGAAUAAGCACCGGCUAACUUCGUG